rnacentral:hammerhead_ribozyme from 1 species
AUCCAACCGACAAGUCCCAAAUAGGACGAAAUGUGCAUCCUUGAU